rnacentral:tRNA from 1 species
GAGAAGGCCAUUAGAUCUGCUAACUCUUAAGUCUGGUAUUAACACACCAGCCUUCUCU